UAACAUCUGAGGCCCCAAUUGACGUUUCCAUCCAAUUUGUUGUUAGUUGAUCCAAAAAAAUAAUUUUGACUACAUUUUACUUAAGUUUAAAAGGGUAAAAUAGUAAUUUAAUAUUCUUCCAUAAGAUAAUUAAAAACAUAAAUCAAAAACAAAAAAAAAAAAACAAAAACAAAAACAAAAAAAGAAGAAGGAAAAACCCUCCAUACCACACCCCCCACUCAAAAUCGACCACCACAAAUCUCCCUCCACAAAUUAAGACAUGUGCAAAUUGGGUGUGUGGUAGAGAUUUGGAAGCCAUGAACAUCAAUUCCUUAUUAAACCAAGAAUAAUCACUCCAAGAAAUGAAUAAUCAUCAAAAUGGUCAACCCCAUAUGUCAUCCCACUUAGAUCUGAUGUCGUCUCAUGAUGAUUUCCUCGGUCAAAUGCUAUUGGGUGUUCCAUCUUCAAACUCCAGUUUUAAUUGGGAUGUAUCUUCCAUCGUGGCUUGAGACGACCAUGCGUCGCCGUUGACUUUGCUUAGCCAAUUUGAAGUCCCAUCGACGUAGUUGGUUUCAAAGCUGAGGUCGACCAGAUCAAUUGCUGCUCAUCCAAGGCCUUAACAAUCCAGCAGCAAUUGAUGUUGUCCAAAGGCAGUUUGCUUUCAAAACCCAAAACCUCCAUUCAGUCGAGAGAGAUUAAGCGGAAGAUGCAAAGGUAGUAAUAUAAACCCUCUUGCAAGAAAGAAAAAAAUUGUGGUAGAGGACAAACUUGAAGUUAUUCCUUAUGUGGUUGUGGUGGCGACGACAGCGGGGCAACAGUGUGGUGGUCAAUGGCAAUGGUAUGGCGGAUUUCUGGUUUUGGUUGAGGGAUUGAGGGUGGGGAUGGGGUGAGGUGUGGGAGAAUAAGAUAGUUUUUCCGUUUUUAUUUUACUUUUUUCCUUUUUUUUUUGGUUUUUGAUUUAAGUUUUUAAUUAUUUUAUGGGAAAUUAUAAAAUUACUAUUUUGCCCUUCUUAAAUUGAGUAAAAUAUGAUCAAAAUUAAUUUUUUGAGUCAACUAACGACUAAUUAGAUGGAAAUCGUCUGUUGGGGGCUUAGCUAUUGCGAUUUGAAAGGUAUGUGGAGAUGAUUGCAACGAUUGAAAGGUUACGAAAAAGUACGCCACUGUUUGAAAGGUUUUGGACCUCAGCUGUAAUUAUCCCUUUUUUGACUCGAUGUAAUCCAUGUAGACCUCAAUAAAAAUGAUAAAGUGUAGUAACUCCAUCGUUCUUGAGUCUCUAUUUUGGAACUGAAUGUAAUCAUUCAAGUAUAAUUAUGACAUAUUUUCAUUUUAUUCUAUUUUCGAAAUUCAUCCACGAUCAAUUAUGUUAUACUUAUAUAUUACGUGGCAUAAGCGUGACUAGGGAUCCCAUAUAUGUCAUCGUGGCAUCAACUAUUUAAUUUGAUUGGGUCUAGGCCUAUUAAAUCAAGAAGCCUCGUCUUGAACUUUGCACUCGACCCAUUAGCAACACUUGAC
rnacentral:lncRNA from 1 species